CGCUGAGUUUGAUCCUGGCUCAGGAUGAACGCUAGCGGCAGGCCUAAUACAUGCAAGUCGAACGGUGAUAGCAAUAUCAUAGUGGCGCACGGGUGCGUAACACGUAUGCAACCUACCUAUUAUUGGGGGAUAGCCUUUGGAAACGGAGAUUAAUACCGCAUAAUACGAUUGACUGGCAUCGGUUGAUUGUUAAAGCUUUGGCGAUAAUAGAUGGGCAUGCGUCCAAUUAGUUAGUUGGUUAGGUAACGGCUGACCAAGACAAUGAUUGGUAGGGGAUCUGAGAGGAUAAUCCCCCGACACUGGGCACUGAGAUACGGGCCAGACUCCUACGGGAGCAGCAGUAGGAAUAUUGGGGCAAUGGAGGGAACUCUGACCCCAGCCCAUGCCGCGUGCAGGAUGAAGGCGUUAUGCGUUGUAAACUGCUUUUAUAUAGGAAGAAGCUACUCCCGUCGUGAGGGUAGCGUUGACGGUACUGU
rnacentral:rRNA from 1 species